UGGGGAAUUUUGGACAAUGGGCGCAAGCCUGAUCCAGCAAUGUCGCGUGCAGGAUGAAGGCCUUCGGGUUGUAAACUGCUUUUGUACGGAACGAAAAGCCUCUCUCUAAUACAGGGGGGUGAUGACGGUACCGUAAGAAUAAGCACCGGCUAACUACGUGCCAGCAGCCGCGGUAAUACGUAGGGUGCAAGCGUUAAUCGGAAUUACUGGGCGUAAAGCGUGCGCAGGCGGUUUUGUAAGACAGUGGUGAAAUCCCGGGCUCAACCUGGGAACUGCCAUUGUGACUGCAAGGCUGGAGUGCGGCAGAGGGGGAUGGAAUUCCGCGUGUAGCAGUGAAAUGCGUAGAUAUGCGGAGGAACACCGAUGGCGAAGGCAAUCCCCUGGGCCUGCACUGACGCUCAUGCACGAAAGCGUGGGGAGCAAACAGGAUUAGAUACCCUGGUAGUCCACGCCCUAAACGAUGUCAACNGGUUGUUGGGGAUUUAUUUCUUCAGUAACGAAGCUGAA
rnacentral:rRNA from 1 species